rnacentral:rRNA from 1 species
CCUACGGGUGGCAGCAGUGAGGAAUAUUGGUCAAUGGACGAGAGUCUGAACCAGCCAAGUAGCGUGAAGGAUGACUGCCCUAUGGGUUGUAAACUUCUUUUAUAUGGGAAUAAAAUGUUCCACGUGUGGGAUUUUGUAUGUACCAUAUGAAUAAGGAUCGGCUAACUCCGUGCCAGCAGCCGCGGUAAUACGGAGGAUCCGAGCGUUAUCCGGAUUUAUUGGGUUUAAAGGGAGCGUAGGUGGAUUGUUAAGUCAGUUGUGAAAGUUUGCGGCUCAACCGUAAAAUUGCAGUUGAAACUGGCAGUCUUGAGUACAGUAGAGGUGGGCGGAAUUCGUGGUGUAGCGGUGAAAUGCUUAGAUAUCACGAAGAACUCCGAUUGCGAAGGCAGUUCACUGGACUGCAACUGACACUGAGGCUCGAAAGUGUGGGUAUCAAACAGGAUUAGAUACCCUUGUAGUA